AUUGAACGCUGGCGGCAUGCCUUACACAUGCAAGGUCGAACGGGCAGCACGGGAGCAAUCCUGGUGGCGAGUGGCGAACGGGUGAGUAAUAUAUCGGAACGUGCCCGGUCGUGGGGGAUAACGUAGUGAAAGCUACGCUAAUACCGCAUACGAUCUAUGGAUGAAAGCGGGGGAUCGCAAGACCUCGCGCGAUUGGAGCGGCCGAUAUCAGAUUAGGUAGUUGGUGAGGUAAAGGCUCACCAAGCCGACGAUCUGUAGCUGGUCUGAGAGGACGACCAGCCACACUGGGACUGAGACACGGCCCAGACUCCUACGGGAGGCAGCAGUGGGGAAUUUUGGACAAUGGGCGCAAGCCUGAUCCAGCAAUGCCGCGUGCAGGAUGAAGGCCUUCGGGUUGUAAACUGCUUUUGUACGGAACGAAACGGUGAGCUCUAAUACAGUUUGCUAAUGACGGUACCGUAAGAAUAAGCACCGGCUAACUACGUG
rnacentral:rRNA from 1 species